rnacentral:rRNA from 1 species
AUUGAACGCUAGCGGGAUGCUUUACACAUGCAAGUCGAACGGCAGCGCGGACUUCGGUCUGGCGGCGAGUGGCGAACGGGUGAGUAAUGUAUCGGAACGUGCCCAGUAGCGGGGGAUAACUACGCGAAAGCGUAGCUAAUACCGCAUACGCCCUACGGGGGAAAGCAGGGGAUCGUAAGACCUUGCACUAUUGGAGCGGCCGAUAUCGGAUUAGCUAGUUGGUGAGGUAACGGCUCACCAAGGCGACGAUCCGUAGCUGGUUUGAGAGGACGACCAGCCACACUGGGACUGAGACACGGCCCAGACUCCUACGGGAGGCAGCAGUGGGGAAUUUUGGACAAUGGGGGCAACCCUGAUCCAGCCAUCCCGCGUGUGCGAUGAAGGCCCUCGGGUUGUAAAGCACUUUUGGCAGGAAAGAAACGUCGCGGGCUAAUACCCCGUGGAACUGACGGUACCUGCAGAAUAAGCACCGGCUAACUACGUG